AGAAACCUUGUCUCAAAAAGACAAAAGAGGCAGGGCAUUAGCUCAGUGGUGCAGCACCUGCCUGGCAAGCAGGAGACCCUGAAUUCGAUUCUGGGCCCCACCAAAAAGACAAAAAUAAAAUAUAUACAUGAGCUUUUAGAAGUAUGCGUAAGUUCUUUCUUCUGCAUGUAAUUUAUUGUGGAGUAUAACAAACCUCAGUAACUUUCUUCCAAAUGAUUUGCCAACAGUUGUAGUUUUUGUUCUUUAAGAAAGUGAAAAUAUAACCUAUGAAAGAAAAUACUCACGAAUCAUUCAGAGGAGAGUUAGGUAUCCAGGUUACAUGAAGAACUCUGAACAGCAUCAACCACUGAGAAGCACCCUGAGAGCAGGCAAAGAACUUGAACAACACUUCUCCACGUGAGCACAGGCACCCUGAGAACCACUACUCAGGACAGAGACCCAGGUCACAGCCAAGGGGACAGCACCGCUCACACGUGGGCAUGGCUGCCACCAGCAAGCCUAGAAAAAAGCAAGGCCUGGCCGGGACUCGGAGGACUGAAGGCCCACGAGCCGCCUGUGGGCAGGCUGAACAGGGGCUGCUUGGGAAAGAAGUGUGGGCAGCAGCUCACUAGAAAAUCACUACUGGGAGCCAUUGAUUCUGCUUCUGGUGAUAAAGCUCGGUGUUCCAACAUCUGACACAGCAAGUCUCUCCUACUCCCACCUCUUUCAGAUGAACUGCAGCCCAUUUUAUCAAUUUCAAACAUGACUCUUCACAUUCCGCCCAGGGCACUGUUGAAAUUACAGACUAGUGCAGACGUGACGGGUGCUGCGAUUUGCCUGGAUCUUCCUACUCUGAAGUAUGCCCCUCCUGUCACGCAGGGACCCUCGUGACCCUGCGUACUGCGCCUUCCUGGGUGCGAGCUUGGCGACAGCGCGGAAGACACCCCGACCUCAGGCGGACACAGGAGGGACCCCUGUCGCUCGCAAGGAACCUAGGGUUGCGGCCAGUGGACGACAGCCACCAAUGGUGGAAGGACUUGAUUCCGUUUUUCUGCGGACGACAGCUCGGACAGCGCCAAUUCAGAAGCACGUGACAUACACGACAUACAGAAACCUUCCAGAAAGCAGGAGGCCCAUGUCUGCGGCCUUUUGCAAUGGGCUCUGACGGGAAGGAAGACGCACACGGGUCCGAAUCAGCCAACUGGAACUAGGACGCCUGCAGAGGACUCAGUGUUGGUGUCACUCCCUCCAGCUCCUGAGGACUUGCUACACAGAUUCACCCCCGUGGGGGAGCCAGAGUAGGUGCUGAAAAAAAAAAAACUACAGAGCAGCUCCGGAGCGCAGGAAAAAGGAAAACAAAAGAAAGAAACUUCACUUAUUUCAGGUCUUACUGAUAAAAAAUCCUGAGACUAAUAGCCAGGCUUGGUGGCGCCUGCCUAUAAUCCCAGUACUCAGGAGGCUGAGGCAGGAGGAUCGCCAC